AACUUUCAACAACGGAUCUCUUGGCUCUCGCAUCGAUGAAGAACGCAGCGAAAUGCGAUACGUAAUGUGAAUUGCAGAAUUCAGUGAAUCAUCGAAUCUUUGAACGCACCUUGCGCCCUUUGGCAUUCCGAGGGGCACACCCGUUUGAGUGUCAU
rnacentral:rRNA from 1 species